rnacentral:rRNA from 1 species
AAUGAACGUUGGCGGCGUGGAUUAGGCAUGCAAGUCGUACGCCCCGCAAGGGGCGUGGCGCAAGGGUGAGUAAGGCGACGGCAACCAACCCCGCGGCCGGGCAUAGCCACCCGAAAGGGUGGGUAAUUCCCGGCGAUCCCCGGAGGGGGCAUCCCCUCCCGGGUAAAGGUGAGACUCCGCCGCGGGACGGACCGUCGUGGUAUCAGCUAGUUGGUGGGGUGACGGCCCACCAAGGCGAUGACGCCUACCGGGCGUGCGAGCGUGGCCCGGCACACUGGGACUGAGACACUGCCCAGACUCCUACGGGAGGCUGCAGUCGAGAAUCUUCGGCAAUGGGCGCAAGCCUGACCGAGCGACGCCGCGUGGAGGACGAAGGCCUUCGGGUUGUAAACUCCUGUCGAGGGGGAACAAGGUGCCGUGCAGAGCGGCGCUUGAGUGAACCCUGGAGGAAGCACGGGCUAAGUUCGUGCCAGCCGCCGCAG